rnacentral:rRNA from 1 species
GUCUUUUUGUUCCUAUAAAAUAAAAAGUCUGACCUGCCCGGUGAAUAAAAUUAAACGGCCGCGGUACCUUGACCGUGCGAAGGUAGCAUAAUCAAUUGUCUUAUAAUUGAAGACUGGAAUGAAUGGUUUAACGGAAUUAUAGCUGUAUCGUUUGUAUUAUUUAAAAAUUGGUUUUUAAAUGAAGAGAUUUAAAUUAAAUCGAAAGACAAGAAGACCCUAUUGAGCUUUAAAUAGUUUGGAGAUGAAUUUUAUAAGGUAAAUUAUAAUUCUGGAAGAUUUUUUGGUUGGGGCGACUAAGGAACAAGCAGAGCUUCUUUUCACUUAAAUAACUAGAUGUGUUUUGAUCCAGACUAGAUUCUGAUUAAAAGAGAUAGUUACCAUAGGGAUAACAGCAUAAUCUUCUUUGAGAGUUCUUAUCGAAAAGAGGGGUUGUGACCUCGAUGUUGGACUAAAAUAUCCUGAGAGUGCAGCAGUUCUCGAGGGUUGGUCUGUUCGACCAUUAAAAUUUUACA